rnacentral:rRNA from 1 species
GAUGAACGCUGGCGGCGUGCCUAAUACAUGCAAGUCGAGCGAACAGAUGAGGAGCUUGCUCCUCUGACGUUAGCGGCGGACGGGUGAGUAACACGUGGAUAACCUACCUAUAAGACUGGGGUAACUUCGGGAAACCGGCGCUAAUACCGGAUAAUAUAUUGAACCGCAUGGUUCAAUAGUGAAAGACGGUUUUGCUGUCACUUAUAGAUGGAUCCGCGCCGCAUUAGCUAGUUGGUAAGGUAACGGCUUACCAAGGCAACGAUGCGUAGCCGACCUGAGAGGGUGAUCGGCCACACUGGAACUGAGACACGGUCCAGACUACUGCGGGAGGCAGCAGUAGGGAAUCUGCCGCAAUGGGCGAAAGCCUGACGGAGCAACGCCGCGUGAGUGAUGAAGGUCUUCGGAUCGUAAAACUCUGUUAUUAGGGAAGAACAAAUGUGUAAGUAACUAUGCACGUCUUGACGGUACCUAAUCAGAAAGCCACGGCUAACUACGUG